rnacentral:rRNA from 1 species
GUGGGGAAUCUUCCGCAAUGGACGAAAGUCUGACGGAGCGACGCCGCGUGAGUGAAGAAGGCCUUCGGGUCGUAAAGCUCUGUCAUCAGGGACGAACGGCCGGUGGAGUGGAAAGUCACCGGAUUGACGGUACCUGAGAAGGAAGCCACGGCUAACUACGUGCCAGCAGCCGCGGUAAUACGUAGGUGGCAAGCGUUGUCCGGAAUUAUUGGGCGUAAAGCGCGCGCAGGUGGGAUCUUAAGUCCAUUUUUAAAGUUCGGAGCUCAACUCCGUGAGGGGAUGGAAACUGGGAUUCUUGAGUACCGGAGAGGAAAGCGGAAUUCCCCGUGUAGCGGUGAAAUGCGUAGAUAUGGGGAGGAACACCAGUGGCGAAGGCGGCUUUCUGGACGGUGUCUGACACUGAGGCGCGAAAGCCAGGGGAGCGAACGGGAUUAGAAACCCUAGUAGUCC